rnacentral:rRNA from 1 species
CCUACGGGAGGCAGCAGUGAGGAAUAUUGGUCAAUGGACGAGAGUCUGAACCAGCCAAGUAGCGUGAAGGAUGACUACCCUAUGGGUUGUAAACUUCUUUUAUAUGGGAAUAAAAUGUUCCACGUGUGGGAUUUUGUAUGUACCAUAUGAAUAAGGAUAGGCUAACUACGUGCCAGCAGCCGCGGUAAUACGGAGGAUCCGAGCGUUAUCCGGAUUGAUUGGGUUUAAAGGGAGCGUAGGUGGAUUGUUAAGUCAGUUGUGAAAGUUUGCGGCUCAACCGUAAAAUUGCAGUUGAAACUGGCAGUCUGGAGUACAGUAGAGGUGGGCGGAAUUCGUGGUGUAGCGGUGAAAUGCGUAGAUAUCACGAAGAACACCGAUUGCGAAGGCAGUUCACUGGACUGCAACUGACGCUCAGGCACGAAAGCGUGGGUAUCGAACAGGAUUAGAUACCCUAGUAGUC